UACGGGGGGGGCAAGCGUUGUUCGGAAUUACUGGGCGUAAAGGGCUCGUAGGCGGCCAACUAAGUCAGACGUGAAAUCCCCAGGCUCAACCUGGGAACUGCGUCUGAUACUGGAUGGCUUGAAUCCGGGAGAGGGAUGCAGAAUUCCAGGUGUAGCGGUGAAAUGCGUAGAUAUCUGGAGGAAUACCGGUGGCGAAGGCGGCAUCCUGGACCGGCAUUGACGCUGAGGAGCGAAAGCUAGGGUAGCAAACGGG
rnacentral:rRNA from 1 species